rnacentral:rRNA from 1 species
UACGGGGGGGGUAAGCGUUGUUCGGAAUUACUGGGCGUAAAGGGCUCGUAGGCGGCCAACUAAGUCAGACGUGAAAUCCCUCAGCUUAACUGGGGAACUGCGUCUGAUACUGGAUGGCUUGAGUGCAGGAGAGGAAUGCGGAAUUCCAGGUGUAGCGGUGAAAUGCGUAGAUAUCUGGAGGAACACCGGUGGCGAAGGCGGCAUUCUGGACUGUAACUGACACUGAGGAACGAAAGCCAGGGGAGCAAACGGG